UACAUAGGCAGCGAGCGUUGUUCGGAAUUACUGGGCGUAAAGCGCGCGCAGGCGGCUAUCCAAGUCAGUGGUGAAAGCCCGGAGCUUAACUCCGGAACUGCCAUUGAAACUGUUUAGCUUGAGGACGAGAGAGGUGAGUGGAAUUCCCAGUGUAGAGGUGAAAUUCGUAGAUAUUGGGAAGAACACCGGUGGCGAAGGCGGCUCACUGGCUCGUUUCUGACGCUCAGGCGCGACAGCGUGGGGAUCAAACAGG
rnacentral:rRNA from 1 species